GAGUUUGAUCUUGGCUCAGAUUGAACGCUGGCGGCAGGCCUAACACAUGCAAGUCGAGCGGAUGAAGGGAGCUUGCUCCUGGAUUCAGCGGCGGACGGGUGAGUAAUGCCUAGGAAUCUGCCUGGUAGUGGGGGAUAACGUCCGGAAACGGGCGCUAAUACCGCAUACGUCCUGAGGGAGAAAGUGGGGGAUCUUCGGACCUCACGCUAUCAGAUGAGCCUAGGUCGGAUUAGCUAGUUGGUGGGGUAAAGGCCUACCAAGGCGACGAUCCGUAACUGGUCUGAGAGGAUGAUCAGUCACACUGGAACUGAGACACGGUCCAGACUCCUACGGGAGGCAGCAGUGGGGAAUAUUGGACAAUGGGCGAAAGCCUGAUCCAGCCAUGCCGCGUGUGUGAAGAAGGUCUUCGGAUUGUAAAGCACUUUAAGUUGGGAGGAAGGGCGAGUAAGUUAAUACCUUGCUGUUUUGACGUUACCAACAGAAUAAGCACCGGCUAACUUCGUGCCAGCCGCCGCUGUAAAACC
rnacentral:rRNA from 1 species